rnacentral:lncRNA from 1 species
CCGCUAUUGCCUGUUGCCUCGCCAAUUCUCUCAGAUGCUCUCUCUUUUGAAAGCCUAAAUUUGCAUCCAGGCUGCAUAUCAGAGUCCUAACAUGGCUCCUAUUAGGAUUCAAACUCCAAACAUAACUCUAAAACCUCUGAUCAUGUCUGCAGAGCCUCCACAACCAUCUGAUCAUGCACAUCAUGCUCUUGGCUACCCAAUCACGCCCGCUUACCAACUUGAACCAUCAGAUCACGCCUGCGCACGCUUGCCCCC